rnacentral:tRNA from 1 species
GCCUGGGUGGCUUGGUCGGUUAAGCGUCCGACUUCGGCUCAGGUCAUGAUCUCACGGUCCGUGAGUUCGAGCCCCACUUCGGGCU